rnacentral:rRNA from 1 species
UACGUAGGGACCAAGCGUUGUUCGGAUUUACUGGGCGUAAAGGGCGCGUAGGCGGCGUGGUAAGUCAGCUGUGAAAUCUCCGAGCUUAACUCGGAACGGUCAGCUGAUACUGCUGUGCUAGAGUACAGAAAGGGCAACUGGAAUUCUCGGUGUAGCGGUGAAAUGCGUAGAUAUCGAGAGGAACACCUGCGGCGAAGGCGGGUUGCUGGGCUGACACUGACGCUGAUGCGCGAAAGCCAGGGGAGCGAACGGGG